rnacentral:rRNA from 1 species
GACAGAGGGUGCAAACGUUGUUCGGAAUUACUGGGCGUAAAGCGUGUGUAGGCGGCUACGUAAAUCGGAUGUGAAAGCCCCAGGCUCAACCUGGGAAGUGCACUCGAUACUGCGUAGCUUGAGUAUCGGAGAGGUUGGUGGAAUUCUCGGUGUAGAGGUGAAAUUCGUAGAUAUUCGCAAGAACACCAGUGGCGAAGGCGGCUCACUGGCCCGAUACUGACGCUGAGGCACGAAAGCGUGGGGAGCAAACAGG